CAGGGAGUAGUUUAAAAUAAGAAU
rnacentral:tRNA from 1 species